rnacentral:rRNA from 1 species
GGUUAAGUGAAUAAGGGCGCACGGUGGAUGCCUUGGCACUAGGAGCCGAUGAAGGACGGGACUAACACCGAUAUGCUUUGGGGAGCUGUAAGUAAGCUAUGAUCCAGAGAUUUCCGAAUGGGGGAACCCAAUAUCUUUUAUAGGAUAUUACUUUUCAGUGAAUACAUAGCUGAUUAGAGGUAGACGCAGAGAACUGAAACAUCUUAGUACCUGCAGGAAGAGAAAGAAAAUUCGAUUCCCUGAGUAGCGGCGAGCGAAACGGGAAGAGCCCAAACCAACAAGCUUGCUUGUUGGGGUUGUAGGACUCCAAUAUGGUAGUCUGUUAGUAUAGUUGAAGGAUUUGGAAAAUUCCGCUAAAGAGGGUGAAAGCCCCGUAGACGAAAUGCUAACAACACCUAGGAGGAUCCUGAGUACGGCGGAACACGAGAAAUUCCGUCGGAAUCCGCGGGGACCAUCCCGCAAGGCUAAAUACUCCCUAGUGACCGAUAGUGAACCAGUACCGUGAGGGAAAGGUGAAAAGCACCCCGGAAGGGGAGUGAAAUAGAUCCUGAAACCGUGUGCCUACAACAAGUCAAAGCUCGUUAAUGAGUGAUGGCGUGCCUUUUGUAGAAUGAACCGGCGAGUUACGAUUGCAUGCGAGGUUAAGUCGAAGAGACGGAGCCGCAGCGAAAGCGAGUCUGAAUAGGGCGAAUGAGUAUGUAGUCGUAGACCCGAAACCAUGUGAUCUACCCAUGUCCAGGUUGAAGGUGCGGUAAAACGCACUGGAGGACCGAACCCACGUACGUUGAAAAGUGCGGGGAUGAGGUGUGGGUAGCGGAGAAAUUCCAAACGAACUUGGAGAUAGCUGGUUCUCUCCGAAAUAGCUUUAGGGCUAGCCUCGGAAUUGAGAAUGAUGGAGGUAGAGCACUGUUUGGACUAGGGGCCCAUCUCGGGUUACCGAAUUCAGAUAAACUCCGAAUGCCAUUCAUUUAUAUCCGGGAGUCAGACUGCGAGUGAUAAGAUCCGUAGUCGAAAGGGAAACAGCCCAGACCACCAGCUAAGGUCCCAAAAUAUAUGUUAAGUGGAAAAGGAUGUGGGGUUGCACAGACAACUAGGAUGUUGGCUUAGAAGCAGCCACCAUUUAAAGAGUGCGUAAUAGCUCACUAGUCGAGUGACCCUGCGCCGAAAAUGUACCGGGGCUAAACAUAUUACCGAAGCUGUGGACUACACCAUUAGGUGUAGUGGUAGGAGAGCGUUCUAAGGGCGUUGAAGGUCGAUCGUGAGGACGGCUGGAGCGCUUAGAAGUGAGAAUGCCGGUAUGAGUAGCGAAAGACAGGUGAGAAUCCUGUCCACCGUAUGACUAAGGUUUCCUGGGGAAGGCUCGUCCGCCCAGGGUUAGUCGGGACCUAAGCCGAGGCCGAUAGGCGUAGGCGAUGGACAACAGGUUGAUAUUCCUGUACCAGUUGUUUUUGUUUGAGCAAUGGAGGGACGCAGUAGGCUAAGGAAUGCAUGCGAUUGGAAGUGCAUGUCCAAGCAAUGAGUCUUGAGUAGAGUUAAAUGCUUUACUCUUUAAGGACAAGUUGUGACGGGGAGCGAAAUAAUAGUAGCGAAGUUCCUGAUGUCACACUGCCAAGAAAAGCUUCUAGUGAGAAAAUAACUGCCCGUACCGUAAACCGACACAGGUAGUCGAGGAGAGUAUCCUAAGGUGAGCGAGCGAACUCUCGUUAAGGAACUCGGCAAAAUGACCCCGUAACUUCGGGAGAAGGGGUGCUGACGAC